UGAGUUUGAUUCUUUGUUGAAGUCUUAUAUUUCUCUACUCUACUUGUUGCAUCAAGUGAUUUUUUGAGAUCAUUUCCCAAUUGAGGACGACAGACUACGGGAAAGAGGAGAUUGGUUGUGGUGGGGAUUGAAGCUGUGAUUUGGGAUCGCUUCAGGAUCUUCUGCUGAUAGGUUUAUCCAGCAGACUUCAAGAGCUGGAUUCCGUACAGAGCUAAAGGCCUUCUCCUUUUCUUCCUCCCGCUAUUUCAUUGAGCAAUCAGUAGCAGUGCUUUCCACACAUAUUUUCCCAAAUUAAGGUGGAAAAUGGCUAUCGAAAGUGUGGUUGGAUCCAUUAUAUCUAAGAUAGCAGAAUUCAUGGUGGAACCAGUAGGAAGGCAGUUCCGUUACAUGUUCUGUUUCAACCAUUUUGUUAAAGAAUUCAAACAACAAAAGGAGAACCUGAUUUCGGCAAAAGAACGUCUGCAAGACGAUGUCGAAGCUGCUGAAAGGAAUGCUGAAGAAAUUUACGAAGAUGU